AAGGAUCAUUACAAGUGAGGCUACCGAACGUUGGAAACAGCGGUUAGGAGCUUACACCCACCCGUGUUUACAUACUAUUGUUGCUUUGGCGGGCCGUGGCCUCCACUGCGGGCUCUGCUCGUGUGUGCCCGCCAGAGAACCAAACUCUGAAUGUUAGUGAUGUCUGAGUACUAUCUAAUAGUUAAAACUUUCAACAACGGAUCUCUUGGUUCUGGCAUCGAUGAAGAACGCAGCGAAAUGCGAUAAGUAAUGUGAAUUGCAGAAUUCAGUGAAUCAUCGAAUCUUUGAACGCACAUUGCGCCCUGUGGUAUUCCGCAGGGCAUGCCUGUUCGAGCGUCAUUUAACCACUCACGCCUAGCGUGGUAUUGGGGCACGCGGUCUCCGCGGCCCUCAAAAUGAGCGGCGGCGCCGGUGGGCUCUAAGCGUAGUACAUACUCCCGCUAUAGAGUUCCCCCGGUGGCCCGCCAGAACCCCCAAUUUUUACAGGUUGACCUCGGAUCAGGUAGGGAUACCCGCUGAACUUAA
rnacentral:rRNA from 1 species